rnacentral:rRNA from 1 species
ACAAAGAAGAGUUUGAUCCUGGCUCAGGAUGAACGCUAGCGAUAGGCUUAACACAUGCAAGUCGAGGGGCAGCGGGGACUUCGGUCUGCCGGCGACCGGCGCACGGGUGAGUAACACGUAUGCAACCUACCCAUAACACGGGGAUAGCUCGGAGAAAUCCGGAUUAAUACCCGAUAACACAGGGAUACCGCAUGGUAAUAUUUGUUAAAGAAUUUCGGUUAUGGAUGGGCCUGCGUUGGAUUAGUUAGUUGGUAGGGUAACGGCCUACCAAGACUUCGAUCCAUAGGGGAACUGAGAGGUUUAUCCCCCACACUGGUACUGAGACACGGACCAGACUCCUACGGGAGGCAGCAGUGAGGAAUAUUGGUCAAUGGGCGGGAGCCUGAACCAGCCAAAUCGCGUGAAGGAUGAAGGUAUUAUGUAUUGUAAACUUCUUUUGUAUGGGAAUAACGUUAGGGACGUGUCCUUAAGUGCAUGUACCAUACGAAUAAGCAUCGGCUAACUCCGUGCCAGCAGCCGCGGUAAUACGGAGGAUGCGAGCGUUAUCCGGAUUUAUUGGGUUUAAAGGGUGCGUAGGUGGACUGAUAAGUCAGCGGUGAAAUCCCGGAGCUCAACUCCGGAACUGCCGUUGAAACUGUCAGUCUUGAGUGUGAAUGGGGUAGGCGGAAUUCGUAGUGUAGCGGUGAAAUGCAUAGAUAUUACGAAGAACACCGAUAGCGUAGGCAGCUUACCAAGCCACAACUGACACUGAAGCACGAAAGUGUGGGUAUCAAACAGGAUUAGAUACCCUGGUAGUCCACACAGUAAACGAUGAAUACUAGGUGUUUGCGAUAUACAGUAAGCGCCCGAGCGAAAGCGUUAAGUAUUCCACCUGGGGAGUACGCCGGCAACGGUGAAACUCAAAGGAAUUGACGGGGGCCCGCACAAGCGGAGGAACAUGUGGUUUAAUUCGAUGAUACGCGAGGAACCUUACCCGGGCUCGAACGGCAAAUGCAUGAUCCGGAAACGGACAGUCCUUCGGGACAUUUGUCGAGGUGCUGCAUGGUUGUCGUCAGCUCGUGCCGUGAGGUGUCGGCUUAAGUGCCAUAACGAGCGCAACCCUUAUCUUUAGUUACCAUCAGGUUAAGCUGGGGACUCUAGAGAGACUGCCACCGUAAGGUGUGAGGAAGGUGGGGAUGACGUCAAAUCAGCACGGCCCUUACGUCCGGGGCGACACACGUGUUACAAUGGGGGGGACAGCAGGCAGCUACUUGGCGACAAGAUGCUAAUCCACGAAACCCUCUCCCAGUUCGGAUCGGAGUCUGCAACUCGACUCCGUGAAGCUGGAUUCGCUAGUAAUCGCGCAUCAGCCAUGGCGCGGUGAAUACGUUCCCGGGCCUUGUACACACCGCCCGUCAAGCCAUGGAAGCCGAGGGGACCUGAAGUACGUAACCGCAAGGAGCGUCCUAGGGUAAAAUUGGUAACUGGGGCUAAGUCGUAACAAGGUAGCCGUACCGGAAGGUGCGGCUGGAACACCUCCUUU